rnacentral:rRNA from 1 species
CAUGAAGCUGGAAUCGCUAGUAAUCGCGGAUCAGAAUGCCGCGGUGAAUACGUUCCCGGGUCUUGUACACACCGCCCGUCACACCAUGGGAGUCGGAAAUGCCCGAAGUCUGUGACCCAACCUGAGAGGGAGGGAGCAGCCGAAGGCAGGUCUGAUGACUGGGGUGAAGUCGUAACAAGGUAUC